GAUGAACGCUAGCGGCAGGCUUAAUACAUGCAGGUCGAGGGGCAGCAGUUUUGUAGCAAUACAGAAGCUGGCGACCGGCAAACGGGUGCGGAACACGUACGCAACCUUCCUUUAACUGGAAGAUAGCCCACCGAAAGGUGGAUUAAUACUCCAUAACAUAUUGAAGAGGCAUCUUUUUGAUAUUAAAGCUCCGGCGGUUAAAGAUGGGCGUGCGUCUGAUUAGGUAGUUGGCGGGGUAACGGCCCACCAAGCCUUCGAUCAGUAGCUGAUGUGAGAGCAUGAUAAGCCACACGGGCACUGAGACACGGGCCCGACUCCUACGGGAGGCAGCAGUAAGGAAUAUUGGUCAAUGGACGCAAGUCUGAACCAGCCAUGCCGCGUGGAGGAUGAAGGCCCUCUGGGUUGUAAACUUCUUUUCUUUGGGACGAAGCCCCUGUUUCUACGGGGACUGACGGUACCAGAGGAAUAAGCACCGGCUAACUCCGUGCCAGCAGCCGCCGUAACAC
rnacentral:rRNA from 1 species